rnacentral:rRNA from 1 species
CAAUACGGCCAUAUCACUUUGAAAACAUUGGUUCUCGUCAGAUCACAUAAGUUAAGCAACGUCGAGCCUAGUUAGUACUUAGAUAGGUCACUGCUUGGGAAAUCUAGGUGCUGUAAAAG